AGAAGGAGAAGGGGGCCACAGGAAAUCCUUCCUCUUAUGAAUUUCUCUUUUCUUUUUUUUCUUUUCUUUUUUUUUUUUUUGAGACAGAGUCUCACUCUGUCGCCCAGGUUGGAGUGCAAUGGCGCGAUCUCGGCUCACUGCAACCUCUGCCUCCUGGAUUCAAGUGAUCCUCCCACUUCAGGCUCCCUAGUACCUGAGACUGCAGGCAGACACCACCAUGCCCGGCGAAUUUUUGUAUUUUCAGUAGAGAUGGGGUUUCGCCAUGUUGGCCAGGCUGGUCUCGAACUCCUGACCACAAGUGAUCUGCCACCUCGGCCUCCCAAAGCGCUGGGAUUACAGCAGGCUGCAAUGGGAGUUUCUCCUGCAGACGUUGAAGGCAUAAGCUGCCAUGUUGUGACAAGCCUGUGAGAUGCCACAUGGGAAGAAGCUGUGGGUGAUUCCUAGGACAUGAGAGUGACCCAGGUGACUUCCAGAAAUAAAGUGGGGACCUCAGUCCUACAAUCUCAGCUGGAUUCUGCCAACAACUGCAUGAGCUUAGAAGAAAAAACUCAAGCUCCAGACAAGAACACAGCACAGUCAAGAUCUUGAUGACACCUUUCCAAGACCAUAAGCAGAGGCCCAAGCUGUACUCAGACUCCUGACCCAAGAAGAUGGAACACAAUACUCAUUGUUUUAAGUCACUAUAUUUGUGGCAAUUUGUUAUGUAGCAAUACAUAACUAACACAUGUCAUAAUCCACUUUGAACUCAAAUAACAGCCAUUCUUGAAAAAAAGCUCUGAUUUGCCAAUUAUUAUUUUCUUUUGGCUGUUGAGGAUAACAGAAAUCUAGCAGAAUGCUUUAUACAUGUGUAUACCUUUAUCCAAUUCAAAACUUGAAUGCAGAAAAUCAUUCUCCAUGAGUGAGUCUUGAAACACAAAUGAAUCAGACUCAACAUUUUUCAAAAUAUCAAAAUUCUUUUAUUUUGUUACUUAAAAAUUGGAAGGUAUACCUCCAAACCAGUUUUUUUGUUUGUUUUCAUUUUUGUUGUUUUUGGUUUUGGUGUGUCUACUUAACUGUUUUGUUUUGCUUGUUUUGGGACAGAGUUUCGCUCUUGUUGCCCAGGCUGGAGUGCAAGGGCACAAUCUCGGCUCACCACAACCUCCGCCUCCUGGAUUCAAGCAACUCUCCUGCCUUAGCCUCCUGAGUAGCUGGGAUUACAGGCAUGCACCACCACGCCCAGCUAAUUUUGUAUUUUUAGUAGAGAUGGGGCUUCUCCAUGUUGGCCAGGCUGGUCUCAAACUCCCAACCUCACGUGAUCUGCCUGCCUUGGCCUCCCAAAGUGCUAGGAUUACAGGAGUGAGACACUGCGCCUGGCCUACUUAACUGUUUUUCAAAUAAAUGGUUUAUUUUCAAAGUUUUAGAUUUACAGGAUUAUAAAGAUAAUACAGAAAGUUCUUGUAUACCCCAUACCCAGUUUUCCCAAAUAUUAACAUCUUACAUUAGCAUGGUACAUUUAUCACAUUUGAUGAACCAAUGUUGAUACAUUAUUGUGAACUAAACUCCAUACUUUAAUCAAACUUUCUUAGUUUUUACCUAACAUCCUAUUUUUGGUCCAGGAUCCCACAUUACAUUGAGUCAUCAUGUCUCCUUAGGCUUCUCUUGAUUGUGACUAUCUCUCAGACUUGAGUUGUUUCUGAUGACCUUCACAGCUUUGAGGGGUACUAGUCAGAUAUUUUGUAGCAUGUCGCUCUACUGGAAUUUGUCUUAUGCUUUUCUCAUAAUUAGACUUAGAUCAAGUAUUUUGGGGAGGAAGAUUACAAAGGCAAAGUGCCCUUCUCAUCACAUCAUGUCAAGGGUACCUACUACCAAUGUGACCUGCCACUGCUGAUUUAACCUUAAUCACCUGGCUUGAGAUAGUGUUUGCUUGGGUUUCUCCAUUGUGAAGUUACUUUUUCCCCUCCCUUUCUUUACUAUACUCUUUGAAAGAAAGUCAUUCUGUGCAGCCCCCAGGGAGGGUUAUGCUUUACCCCCUGAAAGGCAGAGUAUCUUACAUACAUUAUUUGGAAUUCUUCUACAUUCUCUUCAUUUAUUUAUUCAUCAUGUAUUUAUAUCAGUAUAGAUAUGUAUUUUGUACUUUAAGUGAUAUCCUAAUUCUAACUUCCUUUCUUUGCUCAAAUUUUCCAUCUUUGGACAUUGAAAGUACUUUCGAUUGGGUCCUGUAUUCUUUUCACAUACAACCAUCAUUGCGGAUUUUUAUUUUUUGCACUUCUUUACUUUAUAGCACUACAAGAUGCUCCAGGCUCAUCUUGUAUAUUUGCUGCCACAGUCUUAAAUCAGUCAUUUCUCCAAGGAACCCUGGUUCAUUUCAUUGGAAAACAGUAUUAGAAACCAAGAUCUGGGAAACAGGUAUGUAUUGUUUGCUUCCAGACCAAACCAGUUUCUCAAUCUCUAAAUAUGGGAUCUUGGAAUGUCCCUGUAUUCUUAAUUUAU
rnacentral:lncRNA from 1 species